rnacentral:rRNA from 1 species
GACAGAGGAUGCAAGCGUUAUCCGGAAUGAUUGGGCGUAAAGCGUCUGUAGGUGGCUUUUUAAGUCCGCCGUCAAAUCCCAGGGCUCAACCCUGGACAGGCGGUGGAAACUACCAAGCUGGAGUACGGUAGGGGCAGAGGGAAUUUCCGGUGGAGCGGUGAAAUGCGUAGAGAUCGGAAAGAACACCAACGGCGAAAGCACUCCGCUGGGCUGAUACUGACACUGACAGACGAAAGCUAGGGGGAGCGAAUGGG